rnacentral:lncRNA from 1 species
GACAUUUCUACCGCGAACAUUUUUCCCCUUGGAAACAGGCAAACGCUACAAAUCAAGGCUUGCUUUUGUUGUUGUUGAUGAUGUCUAGACUCAAGAACUGGGGUGCAGAAAAUGUCAAUAAUGCGGAUGAAUUUCAGAGUGGGUAUGAACACCCAUUUCAUGCAUUGAGUGGAGGUCUGUGACCACCUGUGAAAGAAUGUGUAGCCCUGGAGAGGAGCAUCUGCUGUGAUUGGUAGACAUGAAAUUUAGAGGAGGUGACACAAGAGAAAAAGAUCUUUAAAGAACCACAGAGGCCAGAUAGAUGGAAGAACUCUGAUGUGGAGUUGGCCUGGAGGAUCAGUUUCUUGAGCUUAGGAGAGACUGGAAUACAGACACUCCGACUUAGCUGUGGAACUUGACCCUGGAGGAGUUCGUGCAGGAGACCUCAGACUGCUAUCUUUUUAGGCCGUCACUGUGAAUCAGGGAUCUCAAGAAAGAAGGGGCCAAAGGCAUCAUCUAAUUCAAUACCCUCAUUUUACGUACACUAUGAAGAAUCUGAGACGGGAAAAACUGAAGUGAUUUUCUCCACGUUGUGCAGGGAGCAAGUGGCAGAGGUCAGAUUCAAUCUCUAGUCCCUUCAUUUCAAAUCCAAUGCCUUUUCCAUGAAAAGUCUUUGCUUAAGGAUAUGCCAAAGGAAACUCUAUUGCUAGCCCAAUGUAUUCUUUAAAAAACGAACCAACAAUCCAAUCCUUAUUUUCUGUCUUAAUAACAACUUUAAUAAGACAGAUAGAUGAGAACUAGGCAAAUGGCAUUAAGUGGCUUCCCCAGGGAUAAGCUAGGAAGUAUCUGAGUCUACUUUUGAACCCAGAUCCUCUUGAUUCCUGGUCUGGAGUUUUAUCCACUGUGCAACCUCACUGCCCCCAGCCCAAUAAUUCCUUUUUUUUUUUUAACCUGUAAAUGCAUCUUACAAUCAAUAUUAAGUAUUGGCUCCAAAGCAGAAGAGUGGCAAGGACUAGGCAUUGAGGGUUAAGUGACUCAUCCAGGAUUACACUGUUAAGAAGUAUCUGGGGCUAGAUUUGAACCCAGAACUUUCUGUGUGUAGCCUUGGCCAUCAAGCCACUGAGCCACCUAGCUGUCCCCCAAUAUAUUUGUAAGACGAAGAGUCUGAAAACUUGAAUGCCUAUCAAAUGGAAAAAUGGAAUUAAGGAGAUGAAAGUUCAUUAAGUUCAAUCCCCUCAUUUUAGAGGAGAUGUUAAGCAACUUAAAGACAUGCAGAUAGUAAGUAGCAGACCAACUCAGAUCCUCUGGCUUCAAAUCCAUCUCUUAUUAUAGUGUACUGAACUGAAUCGUUUGAAAUGAUUUGUGAAGUUGCAGAAGAAUUACUAUUAACGCCCUCUUUGCUUGUCAGCAGCUUCUGAUGGUAUUUUCCCCUUCUUUUAUUAAGUGCUAGGGCUCCUUUUAAGCAAUUUCCUGUGGUGUGGUUAUAUGAGGUAGCUGAGAGAUCCCUGGAAGGGAAACCAGAAUAUCUGCCUUCUGGGAGCAGCCAUGCUCUUAUCCAUAUUCGAAGUAAAUACAGAGUAAUCUUUUUUUGGGGGGUGAGGGUGGGGAGGGGGGGGGAAAGAGACACUAU